AGGACGAACGCUGGCGGCGUGCUUAACACAUGCAAGUCGAGCGGUAAGGCUCCUUCGGGAGUACACGAGCGGCGAACGGGUGAGUAACACGUGAGCAAUCUGCCCUUCACUUUGGGAUAACUUCCGGAAACGGAAGCUAAUACCGAAUACGACCAUCACAGACAUCUAUUGAUGGUGGAAAGUUCCGGCGGUGAAGGAUGAGCUCGCGGCCUAUCAGCUUGUUGGUGAGGUAACGGCCCACCAAGGCGACGACGGGUAGCCGGCCUGAGAGGGUGACCGGCCACACUGGGACUGAGACACGGCCCAGACUCCUACGGAGGCAGCAGUGGGGAAUAUUGGACAAUGGGCGAAAGCCUGAUCCAGCAACGCCGCGUGAGGGAUGACGGCCUUCGGGUUGUAAACCUCUUUCAGCAGGGACGAAGCGAAAGUGACGGUACCUGCAGAAGAAGCACCGGCCAACUACGUGCCAGCAGCCGC
rnacentral:rRNA from 1 species